CGCGGUGACCUGCCGAGUCCGUGCAGUCAGGAGGCACGGAGCCGGGGAACCACUCGACCUUCCGGUGUGGAGGGUCACGGGGUGAAUCGGCGCGUUCCAGCGCCGUAGGGCGACUUCCCCGCCCGAAUCCGUCAGCUAACCCGGUAGGCGCAAGCGGAAGAACCG
rnacentral:sRNA from 2 species